rnacentral:tRNA from 2 species
GCCGGGGUAGCUCAGUCGGUAGAGCAACUGAUUCGUAAUCAGUAGGUCGGAGGUUCGAUUCCUCUCCUCGGCACCA